rnacentral:misc_RNA from 1 species
GAAAUGCGAUACGUAAUGUGAAUUGCAGAAUUCAGUGAAUCAUCGAAUCUUUGAACGCACAUUGCGCUCUCUGGUAUUCCGGAGAGCAUGCUUGUUUGAGUAUCAGUAAAACACCUCAACUCCUCUAUUUUUUUUUAGAGGAAUUGGACUUGAGCAAUCCCAACGGGGGAGGAUAUCCUCCGGCGGGUUGCUUGAAAUGCAGGAGCGGCCGGACAUUUUCUUCUGAGCUAGAAGCAUUACUCAUUUAGUCCCGUAAAACGGAUUAUUACUUUUGCUACAGCUAACAUUAAAGGUUGAUUGUCCUUGAGCCGCUUACUGAUGCAGGAAUUUUUCGAGGGCACGGUGCGCAAGCGACCUGCUCUCGUUCAACUCGAUCUCAAAUCAAGUAAGACUACCCGCU